rnacentral:misc_RNA from 1 species
UCCGAGUUGACCCCGGCAGUCUCCCAUGAGUCCCCGGUAUAACCCGCUGGCAACAUGGAACGAGGGUUGCGCUCGUUGCGGGACUUAACCCAACAUCUCACGACACGAGCUGACGACGGCCAUGCAGCACCUGUGCGGGCUCCCGAAGGAGGACCGUGUUUCCACGGCUUCACCCCGCAUGUCAAGUCCUGGUAAGGUUCUUCGCGUCGCGUCGGAUUAAGCCACAUGCUCCGCCGCUUGUGCGGGUCCCCGUCAAUUCCUUUGAGUUUUAGCCUUGCGGCCGUACUCCCCAGGCGGAGUGCUUAAUGCGUUAGCUGCGGCACGGAGCGGGUUGAAGACCGCCCCACACCUAGCACUCAACGUUUACGGCUGGGACUAC